AUGCAAGUCGAGGGGUAUAGUUCUUCGGAACUAGAGACCGGCGCACGGGUGCGUAACGCGUAUGCAAUCUACCUUUUACAGAGGGAUAGCCCAGAGAAAUUUGGAUUAAUACCUCAUAGUAUGCGAGAAUCGCAUGGUUUUCACAUUAAAGUUCCAACGGUAAAAGAUGAGCAUGCGUCCCAUUAGCUAGAUGGUAAGGUAACGGCUUACCAUGGCGACGAUGGGUAGGGGUCCUGAGAGGGAGAUCCCCCACACUGGUACUGAGACACGGACCAGACUCCUACGGGAGGCAGCAGUGAGGAAUAUUGGACAAUGGGCGCAAGCCUGAUCCAGCCAUGCCGCGUGCAGGAUGACGGUCCUAUGGAUUGUAAACUGCUUUUGUACAGGAAGAAACACUCCCUCGUGAGGGAGCUUGACGGUACUGUAAGAAUAAGGAUCGGCUAACUCCGUGCCAGCAGCCGCGGUAAUACGGAGGAUCCAAGCGUUAUCCGGAAUCAUUGGGUUUAAAGGGUCCGUAGGCGGUUUAAUAAGUCAGUGGUGAAAGCCCAUCGCUCAACGGUGGAACGGCCAUUGAUACUGUUAAACUUGAAUUAUUAGGAAGUAACUAGAAUAUGUAGUGUAGCGGUGAAAUGCUUAGAGAUUACAUGGAAUACCAAUUGCGAAGGCAGGUUACUACUAAUGGAUUGACGCUGAUGGACGAAAGCGUGGGUAGCGAACAGGAUUAGAUACCCUGGUAGUCCACGCCGUAAACGAUGGAUACUAGCUGUUGGGAGCAAUCUCAGUGGCUAAGCGAAAGUGAUAAGUAUCCCACCUGGGGAGUACGUUCGCAAGAAUGAAACUCAAAGGAAUUGACGGGGGGCCCGCACAAGCGGUGGAGCAUGUGGUUUAAUUCGAUGAUACGCGAGGAACCUUACCAAGGCUUAAAUGUAGUUUGACCGUUUUGGAAACAGAACUUUCGCAAGACAAAAUUACAAGGUGCUGCAUGGGCUGU
rnacentral:rRNA from 1 species